GGGGGACGAAUUAAGACAUUGCCCAAACUCUCAACAUCUGGAAACUUCUCCAUCCUCCUCCAUAAAGUGAAUAAAUCUGAUCUGGGUCUGUACCGCUGUGAACUGUUUAAUGAAACCAACUGCAGCAUCGGUUAUCAGGAAAUCCAACUUGGUUCGUUUUUGCAUUUUCAUUCAUUUCAUGAAUUUCUUGUCUUCUUAAUGUGUUUGAGAGCAUUAGUUGUGUUUUCAAUUGACAAAAUAUGUGUUAAAUAUAUAUUUGAUAUAUUUUUUAAGUUAUUAUUUUUUUAUUCUGCAGGUCUUUCUACUGUUUGUCCUUAUUUCUACCAGACCUCCAUCAUAGCAGGAACAUCGGGAGGAGCAGUUCUUCUUCUGCUCAUAAUAUUACUCUUCUACAUCAGGAAAAAACGAACUGGGCGUUCGAGGACUGGAGGUGUUUGUGGAAAUAGACGUGAUCCUCCAAUAUAUGAGAAUAUUCCUGACAGAAUACAGCACAGCCAAAGCAGAGAGGGUAAAUAUCCACACACUUGUUUUUGUUUCAUUCAAAAUACAUUACUUCCAAAUACAUUACUUCCAAAUACAUUAUUAUGGACUGUAUGCUGAUAAUAUUCAAUUGAAAUUAGGGCUGGACGACAUUGGAAAAAAUUACAUUGUAAAUGUUCUUUUUUCGACUAUACAGCAUAUAUAUAUAUAUCACAAUAUUAAACAAUGCAGGGAAACAGAGAAAAACUGCAAAACAACAGUAAUCGUCCCUUUAAUCAGGCAUUUAAAAUGCUUUUUUAAGGUAUUUAAGAGCAUUUUUCUGGGAUUAAAAGUGUGAAUUCAGCUGUAAUGGAAAUAUCUGCAAAACUGUGCUGGACUGAGGAGCACAGCUUUCAACACGUGCGUUUACAAGAAUGUGCCCAACCAUGUGGAUGAAGGCCAUGCAGUUACCUCGUGUUUACUCCUGCCCCUCCCUCCUCGCGCUCCCCCUCCCCUUCGUGCUUCUCAGGCAGCAGCAGGCUGUCACUCACACAGACACAGAGACAGCGCUGUGUAUCUACUUCUUGUGUCAAGAAACAAUAUAUUGCAACAUGACCUGUUUGAUGUGUAUAAUUGCCUUAAGUAACAUCCCACAAUCUGACGAUGCUUAAACGACAUAUAAUGCAGCCCUAAUUUAAAUGCAUUAUAUUUACUUAGAUUUGCAAAUGCGCUCUUUUGGAUAACUUACACUGUAUGGACAAAAGUAAUGGGACACCUGCUCAUUCACUGUUUCUUCUGGAAUCAAGGAUAUUAGGAUUAGGAGGAUAUUAGGAUGUUGGAUGAUCACCACCCCACCACAUUUUGUCCCCAUCUUCACAACUCUAUAUAGGGCGAUUUAUAACCCUCUAGCCUGGUAUACAACUGGUAUUAGACAUCAGGGUGCCAGUAGGUUCAUGUUUACAGUAUCUACAUAUGUAAACAUAUGGACAGAGAGUGUAUACUAAUGCUGUAGACUAAAACUAUGAAAAUACUAAAAUAUGAUUAGGUUGUACAACAUAUUUUCGUCUGAUUUUUUAGGACGUACAUCUGAUCGUCCGAUCGACACAGUGUAUUCCACACUACAGCACUGCCAAAGCAAAGACGGUAAAUACCCACAGUUCUUUUUUUCCUUUUUUCUUCUCUACAGCAUUGAGAACAGAAAAAGUCGCAUUGUUUGAUCACCAGCUGCAGGUUGGAGAGCCAGUGGGCGUAAGCAAAGGACAGCAGAGGAUAUGUCAGUAUCAAUUUAGACUGAAUACUAAUACUUCUUAAUAUUUUGUUUUUCAGAAGUUGUGUAUGAAAAUGAAAUCUACACCAGGGGAAAGUUCUUGGAUAAGCCAGAGCAGCACACAGGAGACAACGUGUAAUGGGACUUCCAUACCAGUAUCACCAGUAUAACCAUCAGGGCACUGAUUCUCAGUCCCAGUCUUACUGAUAUACAGUAGUGUUGUGUGUCUGUCUAAAAGGGGAAUCAGAAACUUGUCUUUAAACCAUAUUAUCAACAAAUGUCCUAAGAACAUCUGGUGCACCAGAGCAUCGGAAAUGGGGCCUCAGGACUGAAAACCUCUGGAUUAGAAUGUACAGAAGUCUUAGAUUGACUUAGAUUGAAUUUAUACUUUUCUAUGAUAAAUGUGUAUUAUUAUGCAUUUUUACUUAAAAAAAUCAAAUUCAGCUUGUAAAUUAUGGUGUAAUGGCUCCCUCUACUGUCUAUAAGCCUUUUCUAGUAAAGAACUAUGGACUCCUUAUAGGUACUUCACUUUGUAUUACCGUACUCAUGUCUUGCUUCUGCAUAUGCCUGCUUUAUACACUCAUCACUGAGCAGCAUGGUGGCUUAGUCGUUCGUCUCCCAUCAUUGGAGUCUUGGGUUCAAAUCCCUAUCUGGUUCUCCUCGUGUUUCCUCCCACCGGAAAAUUGGGAUUAAUCACACUUGUGCUUUUUAGAACACAAGUUUUUAUAGUGGAUAAUAAAAUGUAAACAAUAGAAUUAAUGUAAGAGACA
rnacentral:lncRNA from 1 species